rnacentral:rRNA from 1 species
UACGGGGGGAGCAAGCGUUGUUCGGAUUUACUGGGCGUAAAGGGCGCGUAGGCGGUCGUGACAAGUCACUUGUGAAAUCUCCGGGCUUAACUCGGAACGGUCAAGUGAUACUGUCGGACUAGAGUACAGAAGGGGCAACUGGAAUUCUCGGUGUAGCGGUGAAAUGCGUAGAUAUCAGGAGGAACACCGAUGGCGAAGGCAGGUCUCUGGGCAUUAACUGACGCUGAGGAGCGAAAGCAUGGGGAGCGAACAGG